rnacentral:lncRNA from 1 species
CAAACUUCUCCUGAAAGGUAUUUUAUAAUAGUAUUACUGGAUCCCAUUCCCUGGUUUCUGAUCCAGACUCUAUUAGAAUUUGCAUUUUUAACAUGUUUCUGGUUUUUGCACCUAACUCAGAAACCACAUUUGUAGAAUCACUGCCCUAGGGAAUCUGGUAUUGUGUGUGUGUGUGUGUGUGUGUGUGUAUGUGAUUUGAUACAAAAGCUUAUACUUUGCAUUUUUGAGAGAUAAAAGAUGUCUUUGUUUGCAACCCAAGUGUUAGAUUUUAAAAUUGGUUACCAAGCCAAGAAAAUGUGAUUAGCACUUCUACAGGUGUAAUGCUCUUUUAGACAAUCAUGAUGGAGUGCUUAGUAUCAAAACAAGGUUCAUUUGAAAGUUGGUAGAAUGCUUUUUGACCUACAACCAUUUUCCUACAGGCAGCCUUUUGGUCCUAUGUUACAGGUCCUGACCACAUGUCUCCUUGAUUCACAUACACUCUUCCUUAGGAAUCAUCCUCAGCAUGCCAUGCCCAGGAAAUAUUAUGGUUUGGCAAAAUUUUUGAAAAGCCUCCCUUCCUUCCAGUGCCUUCAAAGCACAUUGGCAUAACAAUUAUCUUCAUAGGCAUUGUGCACUGUUAUUUUAAUUCCAUAUCCUUUGAGAUUCUUCAGAUUAAAGCUACUUCUUAUUCCUACCUUCAUAAAUGUUAGUCAGAUAGAUUGCAGAACAUUUGAUCUUCAGAGGGCCUUGGAAGAGAAAAGGUAGCCUAAGAUGAGAAAAUGCACUUCCUUUUUGAUGAGUGGAACACAGUUGGUUGGCUUAGACAUUUUGGUUAAUAUUUACCAAUGUGGGAGUUUAGCACAACCUCAGAGCUUCAGCACUGCUAUUUUUCAGUUUCUGUUCCUUAGAAGGCUUCAUAGGGCAAGCCUGAUCCCCGGGUGAGCUUGUCGCCUCACUGUAACAUAUCUGCACGACAGGUCAGACAUUGUGAAGUUUCUUCUUUUCCUUUUACUUCUAUUAAGCUACCACCCUUGUCAUUUAUUGUACCAUGUCUGGCUCUUGUGUAUUUGCAUGUUGGAGGCUUACUGGCCUAGCCCUUUGCGCAGAGUAUCCUUCACAAAUUUAAAUUUACAAAUUUUUAGUUGCUUUUUAUCCCUUAGCUUGUGAUUUAAACAAUCAAAUCAUAAGACCAAAACAAAUCAAAGAAAACAGGCUGAGCAAUGGCAAAGAGAAAGAUUAAUAUUACAAUUAGCAGGCAGAAAAGAAGAAAGACAUUUUACAAAAGAAAAUUUAUUUAGAACAGGUUGUACCUCAUAAGAAACUAUCACUCAUAUGCCUAGAACUAGUAAAGCUAUUCUCAGCUGUUUUCUAUUAAAAAGAUUUAAGAAAGAGACUCCAACAAACAAACAACAACAACAAAACUGUGCCAAGUACCUACUAUGGGACAAAGCUUCUUACAUUUUAGGUUCUGUAGAAGAUAUAGAUCACAGAUAUAUUAUGAACAAAUAGAAUUUUAGCUUCUGGCCAGCCUCUCAAUUCUUGUACGCCCCAGGACAUGGUAAUAAAAAAUUACAAAGUUGUGGUGAAGAUUGUUCUGUUUUUUUUUCUUUUAAUAAUUUGUAAUUAAGGAGAUUUCUCUGUAUAGUACAGUCUGUUCAUCCAGUAACUUACAUGUGUCCAAAGUGUCAUGGCAUCCUUGGGCAUCCUAUUAGUGAGUAGUAAUUAGAACUAGAUGAAUCCCAUUUAACAUACUGGUUUGAUGUCAAGCCCACACCCUUGUUCUCUAAAUUCGGAGAAUAAUUAAAUUGGUAUAAGAAAUUCUCUUGAAGUAUUUUCUAUUUGGACUUGAUAUUUUGGUGCUUUGGUUCUUUUGAUGUUUAGCAUCCAAUACUGGAGAGUAAAUAAAAAGGGUAGCUCUUUUGAGAACAUUAUAUGAACUCAGUAAUUCAUAAAGCAGAC